UAUAAGCAAUAAAUUUUAUGUGGUCACUUAGAAGGCAUCAUUCUCUGCAGUAAGAGAAACAAGGCUCGAGUGUUGAUGACACCAAGUAGUGGAAACUAUGUUUCCCGAAUAGUGUUAUGUUUAUGUACGAUUCAAAUGAGACGAUAUUUGUUUCUUUGCUGCAAAAUUGCCUACUGCUGUCAAAGUAGUUAAUUUUGGUCUUCCUUCUUAAGGGUGUUGGGAC
rnacentral:lncRNA from 1 species